CGGGACACGUGGUAUCCUGUCUGAAUAUGGGGGGACCAUCCUCCAAGGCUAAAUACUCCUGACUGACCGAUAGUGAACCAGUACCGUGAGGGAAAGGCGAAAAGAACCCCGGCGAGGGGAGUGAAAAAGAACCUGAAACCGUGUACGUACAAGCAGUGGGAGCACAGAGCAAUCUGUGUGACUGCGUACCUUUUGUAUAAUGGGUCAGCGACUUAUAUUCUGUAGCAAGGUUAACCGAAUAGGGGAGCCGAAGGGAAACCGAGUCUUAACUGGGCGUUAAGUUGCAGGGUAUAGACCCGAAACCCGGUGAUCUAGCCAUGGGCAGGUUGAAGGUUGGGUAACACUAACUGGAGGACCGAACCGACUAAUGUUGAAAAAUUAGCGGAUGACUUGUGGCUGGGGGUGAAAGGCCAAUCAAACCGGGAGAUAGCUGGUUCUCCCCGAAAGCUAUUUAGGUAGCGCCUCGUGAAUUCAUCUCCGGGGGUAGAGCACUGUUUCGGCAAGGGGGUCAUCCCGACUUACCAACCCGAUGCAAACUGCGAAUACCGGAGAAUGUUAUCACGGGAGACACACGGCGGGUGCUAACGUCCGUCGUGAAGAGGGAAACAACCCAGACCGCCAGCUAAGGUCCCAAAGUCAUGGUUAAGUGGGAAACGAUGUGGGAAGGCCCAGACAGCCAGGAUGUUGGCUUAGAAGCAGCCAUCAUUUAAAGAAAGCGUAAUAGCUCACUGGUCGAGUCGGCCUGCGCGGAAGAUGUAACGGGGCUAAACCAUGCACCGAAGCUGCGGCAGCGACGCUUAUGCGUUGUUGGGUAGGGGAGCGUUCUGUAAGCCUGCGAAGGUGUGCUGUGAGGCAUGCUGGAGGUAUCAGAAGUGCGAAUGCUGACAUAAGUAACGAUAAAGCGGGUGAAAAGCCCGCUCGCCGGAAGACCAAGGGUUCCUGUCCAACGUUAAUCGGGGCAGGGUGAGUCGACCCCUAAGGCGAGGCCGAAAG
rnacentral:rRNA from 1 species